UGCCCUACGGGACGCAGCAGUGUUGUAUCUUGCACAAUUGUUUUAACCCUGAUGCAGCGACGCCGCGUGGGUGAAGGAGCGUUUCGGCGCGUAAAGCCCUAUCGGCAGGGAAGAAGAUGACGGUACCUGACCAAGAAGCCCCGGCUAACUACGUGCCAGCAGCCGCGGUAAUACGUAGGGGGCAAGCGUUAUCCGGAUUUACUGGGUGUAAAGGGGGCGCAGACGGCAAUGCAAGCCAGGAGUGAAAGCCCGGGGCCCCACCCCGGGACUGCCCUUGGAACUGCAUGGCUGGAGUACAGGAGGGG
rnacentral:rRNA from 1 species